rnacentral:rRNA from 1 species
UACGGAGGAGCUAGCGUUGUUCGGAAUUACUGGGCGUAAAGCGCACGUAGGCGGCUUGUAAGUUAGAGGUGAAAGCCCGGGGCUCAACUCCGGAACUGCCUUUAAGACUGCAUCGCUUGAAUCCGGGAGAGGUGAGUGGAAUUCCGAGUGUAGAGGUGAAAUUCGUAGAUAUUCGGAAGAACACCAGUGGCGAAGGCGGCUCACUGGAC